rnacentral:rRNA from 1 species
CCUACGGGAGGCAGCAGUGAGGAAUAUUGGUCAAUGGGCGCGAGCCUGAACCAGCCAAGUAGCGUGAAGGAUGACUGCCCUACGGGUUGCAAACUUCUUUUAUAAAGGAAUAAAGUGAGGCACGUGUGCCUUUUUGUAUGUACUUUAUGAAUAAGGAUCGGCUAACUCCGUUCCAGCGGCCGCGGUAAUACGGAGGAUCCGAGCGUUAUCCGGGUUUAUUGGGUUGAAAGGGAGCGUAGAUGGGUUGUUAAGGCAGGUGUGAAAGUUUGGGGCUCAACCUUAAAAUUGCAAUUGAUACUGGCAGCCUUGAGUACAGUUGAGGUAGGCGGAAUUCGUGGUGUAGCGGUGAAAUGCUUAGAUAUCACGAAGAACUCCGAUUGCGAAGGCAGCUUACUAAACUGCAACUGACAUUGAUGCUCGAAAGUGUGGGUAUCAAACAGGAUUAGAUACCCUUGUAGUC